rnacentral:rRNA from 1 species
CAUUGUACUGAGACACGGACCAGAUUCCUACGGGAGGCAGCAGUGAGGAAUAUUGGACAAUGGGUGAGAGCCUGAUCCAGCCAUCCCGCGUGAAGGACGACUGCCCUAUGGGUUGUAAACUUCUUUUGUAUAGGGAUAAACCUACUCUCGUGAGAGUAGCUGAAGGUACUAUACGAAUAAGCACCGGCUAACUCCGUGCCAGCAGCCGCGGUAAUACGGAGGGUGCAAGCGUUAUCCGGAUUUAUUGGGUUUAAAGGGUCCGUAGGCGGAUGUGUAAGUCAGUGGUGAAAUCUCACAGCUUAACUGUGAAACUGCCAUUGAUACUGCAUGUCUUGAGUGUUGUUGAAGUAGCUGGAAUAAGUAGUGUAGCGGUGAAAUGCAUAGAUAUUACUUAGAACACCAAUUGCGAAGGCAGGUUACUAAGCAACAACUGACGCUGAUGGACGAAAGCGUGGGGAGCGAACAGGAUUAGAUACCCUGGUAGUCCACGCCGUAAACGAUGCUAACUCGUUUUUGGAGCGCAAGCUUCAGAGACUAAGCGAAAGUGAUAAGUUAGCCACCUGGGGAGUACGUUCGCAAGAAUGAAACUCAAAGGAAUUGACGGGGGCCCGCACAAGCGGUGGAUUAUGUGGUUUAAUUCGAUGAUACGCGAGGAACCUUACCAAGGCUUAAAUGGGAAAUGACAGGUUUAGAAAUAGACUUUUCUUCGGACAUUUUUCAAGGUGCUGCAUGGUUGUCGUCAGCUCGUGCCGUGAGGUGUUAGGUUAAGUCCUGCAACGAGCGCAACCCCUGUCACUAGUUGCCAUCAUUAAGUUGGGGACUCUAGUGAGACUGCCUACGCAAGUAGAGAGGAAGGUGGGGAUGACGUCAAAUCAUCACGGCCCUUACGCCUUGGGCCACACACGUAAUACAAUGGCCAGUACAGAGGGCAGCUACACGGUGACGUGAUGCAAAUCUCGAAAGCUGGUCUCAGUUCGGAUUGGAGUCUGCAACUCGACUCUAUGAAGCUGGAAUCGCUAGUAAUCGCGCAUCAGCCAUGGCGCGGUGAAUACGUUCCCGGGCCUUGUACACACCGCCCGUCAAGCCAUGGAAGUCUGGGGUACCUGAAGUCGGUGACCGUAACAGGAGCUGCCUUAGGUAAAC